AUAUAUCUCUCUCUCCCUGCUUCUGGCUUGCCUGUUUGGUAAUUACAUGAUGGAGCAAGAAGGGUCCUGAUGGGGGUGAAUCGGAUAGAUAUAGGUCUGAGGCAUGCCUCCACCAUACACGGACCAAGCAACCGGCUGCACUGCUGGCUCUUCUUUCUUUUCUCCCACAGCUUCUACACUUGCUAACUCUGCGUAGCCUACUUUCUUUCUCAGCAAAUUUGUAAGUUGUACUGCAUCAACUCCAUCGCCUACCACCUCUAUCUGGCUCUUAUCUUGCCCUCCUAAACCGGCAGAUUCAACACCUACAGAAUCACAAAAAGAUAUAUAAACCCGUCAACAAAUUGAUCAUCUAAAACUUGUGUGCAUGGAAGGUUCUAUUAGGUAUUCCGAUUCUAAAACUUGUGUGCAUGAAAGGUUUUGUUCACCUGAAAGCCCAACUGCAAUCUGCAAGGCUUUGGAGCGGGAUUUCGGUCCCUUCCCCGUCACCUUGAUCACUAUCUUUUGCUGCAAUGAUUUAGCAUAAUUAAUCAAUAACAAGAAAGUGAUACACAUAAUAUCUUUACGAACAAGCUAGUAAUAUACUUGUGUUCUGAUCACAAAUUCAUACCUUCAUGGUCUUGGUUGUUGGAAAGAUGGUGAUAUG